GGAAGGAUCAUUAACAAGUCCGCUGCGUGCGCAUUCGUGCCGCGCACAUCCGUUCCAUGCGCAGUCCGCUGUGCAUGACAUUUCUGCAAAUAUCUGAUUGUCGCAUCACAAAUAAUACAAACUUUUAACAAUGGAUCUCUAGGCUCUUGCAUCGAUGAAGAACGCAGUGAAGUGCGAAAAGUAAUGCGAUUUGCAUGCUCUGUGAGUCAUCGAAUCUUUGAACGCAUAUGGCACCUCCCGGCCCUGCCGGAGGGUAUGCCUGUUUGAGAAUCAUACACACUCGUGUUCAUCACCUGUUGAUGGACGACCUGGGCAUUCACCAUUGAUUGCCUCGAAUGCAAGUGUGUUGUCAGGAUAUCACUCGAUGUUUGACAACUACAACCCCCCUCAUGAUCUCAAAUCAGGCAAGGCUACCCGCUGAACUUAAGCAUAUCAGUAAGCGGAGGAAGAGAAACUAACAAGGAUUCCCCCAGUAACGGCGAGUGAAGCGGGAACAGUCCAAAUUUUAAAUCUGGGACCCUCGGUCUCCGAAUUGUAGUUUACAGACGCGGAUCGUGAACAGUGCGCCGCCGUGCAAGUCCCCUGGAACGGGGCAUCGCGGAGGGUGAGAAUCCCGUGGCGCGGGGGUGCGCUGGUCGCUGGAGCCGCGUCGACGAGUCGAGUUGUUUGGGAAUGCAGCUCAAAACGGGUGGUAAAUUCCAUCCAAGACUAAAUAUUGGCAAGAGACCGAUAGCGAACAAGUACUGUGAAGGAAAGAUGAAAAGCACCUUGAAAAGGGAGUUAAAUAGUGCGUGAAAUUGCUAAAAGGGAAACGAUUGGCGCCAGUAUCGCCGCGUCGGUGGAGCAGUCGAGUUCAUCGUCUGUGCAUCCGGCGCGCGAGUCAGCGGCGGCCUGCGAUUGCGCACAACCCCCGCGGAAAGAUGACGCCUCGGCGUUUUACAGUCCCGGCGGCGCGCCACGACAGGCCGACGAUCCGCGAUAAUCUGCGUCUCCCCGCUGGCCCAAGCACGUGCAGACAGCACGCUGAUUGUGCGUGUGCAAGACACCGGUGGGCGCAGCAAGUAGACACGCUGACGAAAUGGCGUCAAACGACCCGUCUUGAAACACGGACCAAGGAGUCUAACGUAUAUGCGAGUAUUUGGGUGGCAAACCCGGGUGCGCAAUGAAAGUGACUUUCGGUGGGAACACGCGAGUGUGCACCAUCGGCCGAUCUUGAUAUCUUUUGAUGGAUUCGAGUCAGAGCAUAUCUGUUGGGACCCGAAAGAUGGUGAACUAUGCCUGAAUAGGGUGAAGCCAGAGGAAACUCUGGUGGAAGCUCGUAGCCGUUCUGACGUGCAAAUCGAUGGUCAAAUUUGGGUAUAGGGGCGAAAGACUAAUCGAACCAUCUAGUAGCUGGUUCCCUC
rnacentral:misc_RNA from 1 species